GCCCAACUUUGAGCGCCACUGGCCUCACUCCAAGCUAUAGUCUACUCCGCCAAGCGCGAGGCACUCACUAACUAACCCUAAAUAGGCUCCACCGAUCCGGGGACUCGGUUAUUCCGCCAGUAAAGUGACCGCUUCGGACAGCAGGGAGCUCAGUGGGCGUCUCUGAACGCCAUGUUGAGGAGAACCUGAGCUGCAACGUUUAACUGAUGCACAUACAAGCCUUGAGUCUGGGUCAGAACCGGGCUUUCUGCUGUCCCCGUCCGCUCCACACGCAUCAUUAAAGGAGGAAACCAGAGAGACGGUGCUGCUUUCUCCUCACAACACUGCAGGACGACACCCUGCUGCAUCUGAUCAGAAAAUGGCGGUGUGUGCCCUUCUGCACACAUGCCAGGAAAUGUUGCUACAGCAGCAGAUAACCACUUCAUUCAUGCUGCAGAAACUCUCCACAGACGUCUCAGUUUAUCCUAAAUUAUGGGCCAUCUUUAAAAGAAACCCUCGAAUAAAAUGCAGAAAGAAAAAGGAAAAAAUCUGCACAUUGACUCCGUUUCUCGUCACGUUUAAACAAAUUAGAAAGUCCUAGGAAAAAACGCUCCAAACUCCCAUCUGAAGUGGCUCACGUGAGCCUGAAUGUUUAGUUAAAUCUUCCAGUAUUUUCUAGAACGAAUCUGAUGUUUUAUUUUGUUUUUAAAGCUUUAAAAGAGCCGAAAAACAGCAACCGCCAUUGUUGUGAUGCAACAAGUUCGGUCUAUUUAAAUAGUUUUUAAUAAUUAAAUUCCCAUCAUUCCUCGCAGUGGAUCACGUGCAUUAAAAUAAUUUCGAUAUUUAGGUUCAAUUUAUUUGACGUGAAUUAAGCAGAACUCUUAUUUUGAUGUGGAUCUGUGAGUUUUUGUCACGUUCUGUGUGUUUUGGCGCAGAUUUGCACGUUUGUGCUGCACCAAAGUUGACAGAAUGUGUGUUUUCACGCAGGUUUGCGUAGAUUUCUGCAGACUUUCAGCCUCAGCUUGCAGCCUUGUGUUGUUUUUUUAGCCCUGUUGGGAGUUUUUUUUAAUUCAGAUCUUCGGAACAACUUGUCCCCCAGCUUGUCUGAAACAAGGAGUUCAUCUUCCUAUUAAACCUGAGGUGAAUGUGACGUUUCCCCCUUUUUCCUGUUUAUGGUGAAAUAAAAUGCAUGACGUGUUAAACACGCAUUGAUCUGCA